CCUCGGGUGGCUGCAGUGGGGAAUAUUGGACAAUGGGCGAAAGCCUGUUCCAGCCAUGCCGCGUGUGUGAAGAAGGCCUUCGGGUUGUAAAGCACUUUCAGUGGGGAAGAAAGCCUUGGGGCUAAUACCCUCGAGGAAGGACAUCACCCACAGAAGAAGCACCGGCUAACUCCGUGCCAGCAGCCGCGGUAAUACGGAGGGUGCGAGCGUUAAUCGGAAUUACUGGGCGUAAAGCGCGCGUAGGCGGUCUGAUAAGCCGGUUGUGAAAGCCCCGGGCUCAACCUGGGAACGGCAUCCGGAACUGUCAGGCUAGAGUGCAGGAGAGGAAGGUAGAAUUCCCGGUGUAGCAGUGAAAUGCGUAGAGAUCGGGAGGAAUACCAGUGGCGAAGGCGGCCUUCUGGACUGACACUGACGCUGAGGUGCGAAAGCGUGGGUAGCAAACAGGAUUAGAUACCCUAGUAGUC
rnacentral:rRNA from 1 species